CGACACACUAUCGUUAACUGAAUACAUAGGUUAACGAGGCGAACCGGGGGAACUGAAACAUCUAAGUACCCCGAGGAAAAGAAAUCAACCGAGAUUCCCCCAGUAGCGGCGAGCGAACGGGGAGCAGCCCGGAGUCUGAAUCAGCUUGUGUGUUAGUGGAACGGUCUGGAAAGUCCGACGGUACAGGGUGAUAGUCCCGUACACGAAAAUGCACAUGCUGUGAACUCGAAGAGUAGGGCGGGACACGUGGUAUCCUGUCUGAAUAUGGGGGGACCAUCCUCCAAGGCUAAAUACUCCUGACUGACCGAUAGUGAACCAGUACCGUGAGGGAAAGGCGAAAAGAACCCCGGCGAGGGGAGUGAAAAAGAACCUGAAACCGUGUACGUACAAGCAGUGGGAGCCUCUUUAUGGGGUGACUGCGUACCUUUUGUAUAAUGGGUCAGCGACUUAUAUUCUGUAGCAAGGUUAACCGUAUAGGGGAGCCGAAGGGAAACCGAGUCUUAACUGGGCGUUAAGUUGCAGGGUAUAGACCCGAAACCCGGUGAUCUAGCCAUGGGCAGGUUGAAGGUUGGGUAACACUAACUGGAGGACCGAACCGACUAAUGUUGAAAAAUUAGCGGAUGACCUGUGGCUGGGGGUGAAAGGCCAAUCAAACCGGGAGAUAGCUGGUUCUCCCCGAAAGCUAUUUAGGUAGCGCCUCGUGAACUCAUCUUCGGGGGUAGAGCACUGUUUCGGCUAGGGGGCCAUCCCGGCUUACCAACCCGAUGCAAACUACGAAUACCGAAGAAUGUUAUCACGGGAGACACACGGCGGGUGCUAACGUCCGUCGUGAAGAGGGAAACAACCCAGACCGCCAGCUAAGGUCCCAAAGUCAUGGUUAAGUGGGAAACGAUGUGGGAAGGCACAGACAGCCAGGAUGUUGGCUUAGAAGCAGCCAUCAUUUAAAGAAAGCGUAAUAGCUCACUGGUCGAGUCGGCCUGCGCGGAAGAUGUAACGGGGCUAAACCAUGCACCGAAGCUGCGGCAGCGACACUAUGUGUUGUUGGGUAGGGGAGCGUUCUGUAAGCCGUUGAAGGUGUGCUGUGAGGCAUGCUGGAGGUAUCAGAAGUGCGAAUGCUGACAUAAGUAACGAUAAAGCGGGUGAAAAGCCCGCUCGCCGGAAGACCAAGGGUUCCUGUCCAACGUUAAUCGGGGCAGGGUGAGUCGACCCCUAAGGCGAGGCCGAAAGGCGUAGUCGAUGGGAAACAGGUUAAUAUUCCUGUACUUGGUGUUACUGCGAAGGGGGGACGGAGAAGGCUAUGUCAGCCGGGCGACGGUUGUCCCGGUUUAAGCAUGUAGGCGGAGGUUCCAGGUAAAUCCGGUACCUUUUAACGCUGAGGUGUGAUGACGAGGCACUACGGUGCUGAAGUGAUAAAUGCCCUGCUUCCAGGAAAAGCCUCUAAGCAUCAGGUAACACGAAAUCGUACCCCAAACCGACACAGGUGGUCAGGUAGAGAAUACCAAGGCGCUUGAGAGAACUCGGGUGAAGGAACUAGGCAAAAUGGUGCCGUAACUUCGGGAGAAGGCACGCUGAUAUGUAGGUGAAGCCCCUGCGGGCGGAGCUGAAAUCAGUCGAAGAUACCAGCUGGCUGCAACUGUUUAUUAAAAACACAGCACUGUGCAAACACGAAAGUGGACGUAUACGGUGUGACGCCUGCCCGGUGCCGGAAGGUUAAUUGAUGGGGUUAGCGGCAACGCGAAGCUCUUGAUCGAAGCCCCGGUAAACGGCGGCCGUAACUAUAACGGUCCUAAGGUAGCGAAAUUCCUUGUCGGGUAAGUUCCGACCUGCACGAAUGGCGUAAUGAUGGCCAGGCUGUCUCCACCCGAGACUCAGUGAAAUUGAACUCGCUGUGAAGAUGCAGUGUACCCGCGGCAAGACGGAAAGACCCCGUGAACCUUUACUAUAGCUUGACACUGAACACUGGUCCUUGAUGUGUAGGAUAGGUGGGAGGCUUUGAAGCGUGGACGCCAGUCUGCGUGGAGCCGCCCUUGAAAUACCACCCUUUAAUGGCUGGUGUUCUAACGUAGACCCGUGAUCCGGGUUGCGGACAGUGUCUGGUGGGUAGUUUGACUGGGGCGGUCUCCUCCCAAAGAGUAACGGAGGAGCACGAAGGUUGGCUAAUCCUGGUCGGACAUCAGGAGGUUAGUGCAAUGGCAUAAGCCAGCUUGACUGCGAGCGUGACGGCGCGAGCAGGUGCGAAAGCAGGUCAUAGUGAUCCGGUGGUUCUGAAUGGAAGGGCCAUCGCUCAACGGAUAAAAGGUACUCCGGGGAUAACAGGCUGAUACCGCCCAAGAGUUCAUAUCGACGGCGGUGUUUGGCACCUCGAUGUCGGCUCAUCACAUCCUGGGGCUGAAGUAGGUCCCAAGGGUAUGGCUGUUCGCCAUUUAAAGUGGUACGCGAGCUGGGUUUAGAACGUCGUGAGACAGUUCGGUCCCUAUCUGCCGUGGGCGCUGGAGAAUUGAGGGGGGCUGCUCCUAGUACGAGAGGACCGGAGUGGACGCAUCACUGGUGUUCGGGUUGUCAUGCCAAUGGCACUGCCCGGUAGCUAAAUGCGGAAGAGAUAAGUGCUGAAAGCAUCUAAGCACGAAACUUGCCCCGAGAUGAGUUCUCCCUGAGACUUUAAGUCUCCUGAAGGAACGUUGAAGACGACGACGUUGAUAGGUCGGGUGUGUAAGCGCAGCGAUGCGUUGAGCUAACCGAUACUAAUGAACCGUGAGGCUUAACCUU
rnacentral:rRNA from 1 species